AGUAAAGGUUUAUUCCGGUAAGGGAUGGGUCUGCGCCCUAUCAGCUUGUUGGUAAGGUAAUGGCUUACCAAGGCUAUGACGGGUAGGCGGAGUGAGAGCUUGUCCGCCAACAAUGGCACUGAGACACUGGCCAUACUCCUACGGGAGGCUGCAGUCGAGAAUAUUGGUCAAUGGACGAAAGUCUGAACCAGCGACGUCGCGUGUAGGAAUAAGAUCUUCGGAUUGUAAACUACUUUUAUAAGGGAAGAAUCUUUUAGAUGACGGUACCUUAUGAAUAAGGGGUGACAAAACUCGUGCCAGCAGUAGCGGUAAUACGAGUGCCCCAAGCGUUAUCCGGAUUAAUUGGGCGUAAAGGGUCCGUAGGCGGUUUGUUAAGUUUUUCGUUAAAUCUCCAGGGCUUAACCUUGGAGUUGCGGAAAAAACUAACAGACUAGAGGAUGUUAGGGGCUAGCGGAAUGUCUGGUGUAGGGGUGAAAUCCGUUGAUAUCAGAUGGAACACCAAAAGCGAAGGCAGCUAGCUGGGGCAAUCCUGACGCUCAGGGACGAAAGCGUGGGGAGAAAAGAGGAUUAGAUACCCUCGUAUUCCACGCCAUAAACGAUGAGCACUAGCUAUUGCAAGUGUCGACCCUCGCAGUGGUCAAGCUAACGCGUUAAGUGCUCCGCCUGGGAAGUACGGCCGCAAGGCUAAAACUCAAAGGAAUAGACGGGGACUCACACAAGCGGUGGAUCACGUGGCUUAAUUCGACUCUAAGCGAGGAACCUUACCAAGGCUUGAAACUCUAAUGAAAUCCUUCCGAAAGGAAGGCCCUCCGAAAGGACAUUAGAGCAGGUGCUGCAUGGUUGUCGUCAGCAGGUGGCUUGAGUUGCUCCCUUAAAUGGGGAAACCUGCGCAACCCUUACCCUAUGUUUUAAAUGUCAUGGGGGAGUGCCUAGGACAACUAGGAGGAAGGUGAGGAUGACGGCAAAUCAGCAUGGCCCUUUGAUGCCUUGGGCUGCACACGUGAUACAAUGGAAAAGACAAAGGGGUGGUAAGAGGUAACUUGGAGCAAAUCCCAUCAAACAUUUCCUCAAUUCGGAUUGAGGUGUGCAACCCGACCUCAUGAAGUCGGAAUCGCUAGUAACCGUAGAUCAGCCAUGCUACGGUGAAUAAGUCCCUGGGUCUUGUACACACCGCCCGUCAA
rnacentral:rRNA from 1 species